rnacentral:rRNA from 1 species
UACGUAGGGUGCAGGCGUUAAUCGGAAUUACUGGGCGUAAAGCGUGCGCAGGCGGUUUCUUAAGUCAGAUGUGAAAGCCCCGGGCUUAACCUGGGAACUGCGUUUGAAACUGGGAGACUUGAGUGUGGCAGAGGGGGGUGGAAUUCCACGUGUAGCAGUGAAAUGCGUAGAUAUGUGGAGGAACACCGAUGGCGAAGGCAGCCCCCUGGACCUGUACUGACGCUCAUGCACGAAAGCGUGGGGAGCAAACAGG